GAUGAACGCUAGCUACAGGCUUAACACAUGCAAGUCGAGGGGAAACGGCAUUUAGUGCUUGCACUCUUUGGACGUCGACCGGCGCACGGGUGAGUAACGCGUAUCCAACCAUCGCAUUACUGUGGGAUAACCUGCCGAAAGGCAGACUAAUACCGCAUAGUCUUCGAUUUCGUCAUCAGGUUUGAAGUAAGAUUUAUCAGUAAUGGAUGGGGAUGCGUUUGAUUAGCUUGGUGGCGGGGUAACGGCCCACCAAGGCUACGAUCAGUAGGGGUUCUGAGAGGAAGGUCCCCCACAUUGGAACUGAGACACGGACCAAACUCCUACGGGAGGCAGCAGUGAGGAAUAUUGGACAAGGGUCGGAAGUCUGAUCCAGCCAAGUAGCGUGCAGGAUGACGGCCCUAUGGGUUGUAAACUGCUUUUGUAAGGGGAGAAAGUUAGGUACGUGUACCUAUAUGCAGGUACCAUACGAAUAAGGACCGGCUAAUUCCGUG
rnacentral:rRNA from 1 species